GAAGAAAAUGAGAGCGCUGGGGAGAACGAAGGCAGGCUGUUUCCUUCAGACUAAAGGCGGAAGAAAUCUGAUAUGCAGCGUGAUCUCACCACCUCCCAGAGUCUGAGAGCUCCUGCACAGAAUGUCAGAAGGAAUGGGCUCCCCUCUCCAGGGUAGCCCAGGAAAGCUGUAUGGCCAUGAAAACACAUCAGGACAAAUGGAGUGAAGACACAGCGUUUCUUUUAACAGCUGAAACAAGAGUCAUCCAUAGCGAUAAAAGUAAAUGCAAAGAAUAAGAUCGGAAAACUUUACAAAAACUGCUAAGGCAGCUCUUCUGGUGUAGGGGUGUAAGAUGGUGGAGUCUAGCAAAGGAAGGGGGAUUAUCAGUUGAUCUCUUUAAAUGUAAUUCUUACUUGUAUUUUCUAAAACAAGAAUGUAAAAAUAUGUGUAAGUCAAUUCUGUCAAAUUCGCUCAAUAAACCGAGAUUCCUCAGAAGCAUAGAUUUGAGACACAGCGAGGUACAAACACCAAGGCAGGUUGACCCAGGCACAGCCUCUG
rnacentral:lncRNA from 1 species